AGCGGCGGACGGGUGAGUAACACGUGGGUAACCUGCCUCAAAGUGGGGGAUAGCCUUCCGAAAGGAAGAUUAAUACCGCAUAAGCCUACAGUGCCGCAUGGCACAGCAGGAAAAGGAGCAAUCCGCUUUGAGAUGGACCCGCGGCGCAUUAGCUAGUUGGUGAGGUAACGGCUCACCAAGGCGACGAUGCGUAGCCGACCUGAGAGGGUGAUCGGCCACAUUGGAACUGAGACACGGUCCAGACUCCUACGGGAGGCAGCAGUGGGGAAUAUUGCACAAUGGGCGAAAGCCUGAUGCAGCAACGCCGCGUGAGUGAUGAAGGCCUUCGGGUCGUAAAGCUCUUUGAUCAGGGAUGAUAAUGACAGUACCUGAAAAACAAGCCACGGCUAACUACGUGCCAGCAGCCGCGGUAAUACGUAGGUGGCGAGCGUUGUCCGGAAUUACUGGGCGUAAAGGAUGCGUAGGUGGAUACUUAAGUGGGAUGUGAAAUCCCCGGGCUCAACCCGGGAACUGCAUUCCAAACUGGGUAUCUAGAGUGCAGGAGAGGAAAGCGGAAUUCCUAGUGUAGCGGUGAAAUGCGUAGAUAUUAGGAGGAACACCAGUGGCGAAGGCGGCUUUCUGGACUGUAACUGACACUGAGGCAUGAAAGCGUGGGUAGCAAACAGGAUUAGAUACCCUGGUAGUCCACGCC
rnacentral:rRNA from 1 species